rnacentral:rRNA from 1 species
ACCGUACUCCUACGGGAGGCAGCAGUGGGGAAUAUUGCGCAAUGGGGGAAACCCUGACGCAGCAACGCCGCGUGGAUGAUGAAGGCCCUAGGGUUGUAAAAUCCUUUCGUUGGGGACGAUAAUGACGGUACCCAAAGAAGAAGCUCCGGCUAACUUCGUGCCAGCAGCCGCGGUAAUACGGAGGGGGGCUAGCGUUGUUCGGAUUUACUGGGCGUAAAGCGCGUGUAGGCGGACUUGUAAGUUGGGGGUGAAAUCCCGAGGCUCAACCUCGGAACUGCCUCCAAAACUACAAGUCUGGACUCAAGUAGAGGCAAGUGGAAUUGCGAGUGUAGAGGUGAAAUUAGUAGAUAUUCGCAGGAACACCAGUGGCGAAGGCGACUUGCUGGACUUGUAGUGGCGCUGAGACGCGAAAACGUGGGGAGCAAACAGGAUUAGAAACCCGAGUAGUCCUUGAC